rnacentral:rRNA from 1 species
UACGAAGGGUGCAAGCGUUGUUCGGAAUCAUUGGGCGUAAAGCGCGCGCAGGCGGAUCAGCAAGUCAGGUGUGAAAUCUCGAAGCUCAACUUCGAAACUACGCCUGAAACUGCUAGUCUAGAAUGUCGGAGGGGGCAGGGGAAUUUCACGUGUAGGGGUAAAAUCCGUAGAGAUGUGAAGGAACACCGGGGGCGAAGGCGCCUGCCUGGACGACUAUUGACGCUGAGGCGCGAAAGCGUGGGGAGCAAACAGG